rnacentral:rRNA from 1 species
GACGAACCGUGCGAACGUUAUUCGGAAUCACUGGGCUUAAAGCGCGUGUAGGCGGAUCGCCGCGUCGGCUGCUGAAAUCCCCCGGCUCAACCGGGGAACGGGCACCGAUACGGGGCGAUCUCGAGGGGGGGUAGGGGGGGUCUGGAACUUCCGGUGGAGCGGUGAAAUGCGUUGAGAUCGGAAGGAACGCCCGUGGCGAAAGCGAGGCCCUGGACCCUUACUGACGCUGAGACGCGAAAGCCAGGGGAGCGAACGGG